rnacentral:rRNA from 1 species
CGUAGGGUCCAAGCGUUAUCCGGAAUCACUGGGCGUAAAGCGUGCGUAGGUGGCGCGUUAAGUGAGAUGUUAAAUCGUGUGGCUCAACCAUAUCGGUGCAUCUCAUACUGGCGUGCUAGAGGACAGCAGAGGCAAGUGGAAUUGGUAGUGUAGCAGUGAAAUGCGUAGAUAUUACCAGGAACACCAAUGGCGAAGGCAGCUUGCUGGGCUACUCCUGACACUGAGGUACGAAAGCGUGGGGAGCGAACAGGAUUAGAUACCCUGGUAGUCCACGCCGUAAACGAUGCAUACUAGACGUAUGGGGUAUCGACCCCCUGUGCGUCGAAGCUAACGCGAUAAGUAUGCCGCCUGGGAAGUACGGCCGCAAGGCUA